AGAGUUUGAUCCUGGCUCAGAAUCAACGCUGGCGGCGUGCCUCAGACAUGCAAGUCGAACGCGAAAGUUCCCUUCGGGGAGCGAGUAGAGUGGCGCACGGGUGAGUAACACGUAGGUAAUUUGCCUUCGGGUGGGGAAUAACAGCCGGAAACGGCUGCUAAUACCGCAUAAUGCAGCGGCUCGACAUCGAGACAGUUGUUAAAGCGGGGGAUCGCAAGACCUCGCGCCUGAAGAGAAGCCUGCGGCAGAUUAGCUAGUUGGUAAGGUAAUGGCUUACCAAGGCGACGAUCUGUAACCGGCCUGAGAGGGCGGUCGGUCACACUGACACUGACAUACGGGUCAGACUCCUACGGGAGGCAGCAGUCGGGAAUUUUGGGCAAUGGGCGAAAGCCUGACCCAGCAACGCCGCGUGAAGGAUGAAAUUUUUCGGAAUGUAAACUUCGCAAGAAUGGGAAGAAUAAGUGUUCGUGAAUAUCGAACAUGAUGACGGUACCAUUUGUAAGCUCCGGCUAACUCCGUGCCAGCAGCCGCGGUAAUACGGGGGGAGCAAGCGUUGUUCGGAUUUACUGGGCGUAAAGGGCGCGUAGGCGGUCACUACAAGUCACUUGUGAAAUCUCCGGGCUUAACUCGGAACGGUCAAGUGAUACUGUCGGACUAGAGUACAGAAGGGGCAACUGGAAUUCUCGGUGUAGCGGUGAAAUGCGUAGAUAUCGAGAGGAACACCUGCGGCGAAGGCGGGUUGCUGGGCUGAUACUGACGCUGAGGCGCGAAAGCCAGGGGAGCGAACGGGAUUAGAUACCCGGGUAGUCCA
rnacentral:rRNA from 1 species